rnacentral:rRNA from 1 species
UACGUAGGGCGCAAGCGUUGUCCGGAAUUAUUGGGCGUAAAGAGCUCGUAGGCGGUCUGUUACGUCCGCUGUGAAAACCCAGGGCUUAACCCUGGGCUUGCAGUGGAUACGGGCAGACUAGAGGCAGGUAGGGGAGAAUGGAAUUCCCGGUGUAGCGGUGAAAUGCGCAGAUAUCGGGAGGAACACCGGUGGCGAAGGCGGCGCACUGGACCACUUCUGACGCUGAGGCGCGAAAGCUAGGGGAGCAAACAGG